rnacentral:rRNA from 1 species
CCUACGGGAGGCAGCAAUGGGGAAUAUUGGGCACUGGACGCAAGUCUGACCCAGCAACGCCGCGUGAAGGAAGAAGGCUUUCGGGUUGUAAACUUCUUUUAAGGGGGAAGAGCAGAAGACGGUACCCCUUGAAUAAGCCACGGCUAACUACGUGCCGGCAGCCGCGGUAUUACGUGGGUGGCAGGCGUUUUCCGGAUUUACUGGGUGUAAAGGGCGUGAGGCCGGGAAGACAAGUCAGAUGUGAAAUCCCGCGGCUCAACCGCGGACCUGCAUUUGAAACUGUUUUUCUUGAGUAUCGGAGAGGUAAUCGGAAUUCCUAGUGUAGCGGUGAAAUGCGUAGAUAUUAGGAAGAACACCAGUGGCGAAGGCGGAUUACUGGACGACAACUGACGGUGAGGCGCGAAAGCGUGGGGAGCAAACAGGAUUAGAUACCCCUGUAGUC